ACGAACGCUGGCGGCGUGCUUAACACAUGCAAGUCGAACGGAAAGGCCCUGCUUUUGUGGGGUGCUCGCGUGGCGAACGGGUGAGUAACACGUGAGUAACCUGCCCUUGACUUUGGGAUAACUUCAGGAAACUGGGGCUAAUACCGGAUAGGAGCUCCUGCUGCAUGGUGGGGGUUGGAAAGUUUCGGCGGUUGGGGAUGGACUCGCGGCUUAUCAGCUUGUUGGUGGGGUAGUGGCUUACCAAGGCUUUGACGGGUAGCCGGCCUGAGAGGGUGACCGGCCACAUUGGGACUGAGAUACGGCCCAGACUCCUACGGGAGGCAGCAGUGGGGAAUAUUGCACAAUGGGCGGAAGCCUGAUGCAGCAACGCCGCGUGCGGGAUGACGGCCUUCGGGUUGUAAACCGCUUUCGCCUGUGACGAAGCGUGAGUGACGGUAAUGGGCAAAGAAGCACCGGCUAACUACGUG
rnacentral:rRNA from 1 species